GACGAACGCUGGCGGCGUGCCUAAUACAUGCAAGUCGAGCGAAGUGGAGAGAGCUUGCUCUCAAAGCUUAGCGGCGAACGGGUGAGUAACACGUGGGCAACCUGCCUGACAGACCGGGAUAACUUGGGGAAACUAAAGCUAAUACCGGAUAGGACCUCAAAUCGCUGGGUUUGAGAUGGAAAGACUGAACGACACUGUCAGACGGGCCCGCGGCACAUUAGCCAGUGGGUGGGGUAAUGGCCUCCCAAGGCGACGCUGCCUAGCCGACCGGAGAGGGUGACCGGCCACACUGGGACUGAGACACGGCCCAGACUCCUACGGGAGGCAGCAGUAGGGAAUCUUCCACAAUGGACGAAAGUCUGAUGGAGCAACGCCGCGUGAGUGAUGAAGGUUGUCGGAUCGUAAAACUCUGUUGUUAGGGAAGAACACCCGGGAGAGGAUCCCGGAUUGACGGUACCUGACGAGAAAGCCCCGGCUAACUACGUGCCAGCCGCCGCCGUAA
rnacentral:rRNA from 1 species